AAAAAAAUGACAAGGAUGGGAUUCAAACCCACGCAGGCUGAGCCUAAUAGAUUAGUAGUCCAUUGUCUUAACCUCUCAGCUAAUUUAUU